UGGGGAAUUUUGGACAAUGGGGGCAACCCUGAUCCAGCAAUGCCGCGUGUGUGAAGAAGGCCUUCGGGUUGUAAAGCACUUUUGUCCGGAAAGAAAACGCCGUGGUUAAUACCCGUGGCGGAUGACGGUACCGGAAGAAUAAGCACCGGCUAACUACGUGCCAGCAGCCGCGGUAAUACGUAGGGUGCAAGCGUUAAUCGGAAUUACUGGGCGUAAAGCGUGCGCAGGCGGUCCGCUAAGACAGAUGUGAAAUCCCCGGGCUUAACCUGGGAACUGCAUUUGUGACUGGCGGGCUAGAGUAUGGCAGAGGGGGGUAGAAUUCCACGUGUAGCAGUGAAAUGCGUAGAGAUGUGGAGGAAUACCGAUGGCGAAGGCAGCCCCCUGGGCCAAUACUGACGCUCAUGCACGAAAGCGUGGGGGAGCAAACAGGAUUAGAUACCCUGGUAGUCCACGCCCUAAACGAUGUCAACUAGUUGUCGGGUCUUCAUUGACUUGGUAAUGUAGCUAACGCGUGAAGUUGACCGCCUGGGGAGUACGGUCGCAAGAUUAAAACUUAAAUGAAUUGACGGGGUCAUAGCUGUUUU
rnacentral:rRNA from 1 species